UACGGGAGGCAGCAGUGGGGAAUAUUGCACAAUGGGCGCAAGCCUGAUGCAGCCAUGCCGCGUGUAUGAAGAAGGCCUUCGGGUUGUAAAGUACUUUCAGUCGUGAGGAAGGUGUUAAGGUUAAUAACCUUAGCAAUUGACGUUAGCGACAGAAGAAGCACCGGCUAACUCCGUGCCAGCAGCCGCGGUAAUACGGAGGGUGCGAGCGUUAAUCGGAAUUACUGGGCGUAAAGGGCACGCAGGCGGUUAAUUAAGUUGGAUGUGAAAUCCCCGGGCUUAACCUGGGGAUGGCAUUCAAGCUGGUUAGCUAGAGUCUUGUAGAGGGGGUAGAAUUCCAUGUGUAGCGGUGAAAUGCGUAGAGAUGUGGAGGAAUACCGGUGGCGAAGGCGGCCCCUGGACAAAGGACUGACGCUCAUGUGCGAAAGCGUGGGGAGCAAAC
rnacentral:rRNA from 1 species